GACGAACGCUGGCGGCGUGCUUAAUACAUGCAAGUUGAGCGAUGAAGAUUGGUGCUUGCACCAAUUUGAAGAGCAGCGAACGGGUGAGUAACGCGUGGGGAAUCUGCCUUUGAGCGGGGGACAACAUUUGGAAACGAAUGCUAAUACCGCAUAAUAACUUUAAACAUAAGUUUUAAGUUUGAAAGAUGCAAUUGCAUCACUCAAAGAUGAUCCCGCGUUGUAUUAGCUAGUUGGUGAGGUAAAGGCUCACCAAGGCGAUGAUACAUAGCCGACCUGAGAGGGUGAUCGGCCACAUUGGGACUGAGACACGGCCCAAACUCCUACGGGAGGCAGCAGUAGGGAAUCUUCGGCAAUGGACGAAAGUCUGACCGAGCAACGCCGCGUGAGUGAAGAAGGUUGUCGGAUCGUAAAACUCUGUUGGUAGAGAAGAACGUUGGUGAGAGUGGAAAGCUCAUCAAGUGACGGUAACUACCCAGAAAGGGACGGCUAACUACGUG
rnacentral:rRNA from 1 species